AGCGGCGGACGGGUUAGUAACGCGUGGGAACGUACCCUUUUCUACGGAAUAGCCUCGGGAAACUGAGAGUAAUACCGUAUAAGCCCUUCGGGGGAAAGAUUUAUCGGGAAAGGAUCGGCCCGCGUUAGAUUAGAUAGUUGGUGGGGUAAUGGCCUACCAAGUCUACGAUCUAUAGCUGGUUUUAGAGGAUGAUCAGCAACACUGGGACUGAGACACGGCCCAGACUCCUACGGGAGGCAGCAGUGGGGAAUCUUAGACAAUGGGCGCAAGCCUGAUCUAGCCAUGCCGCGUGUGUGAUGAAGGCCUUAGGGUCGUAAAGCACUUUCGCCAGGGAUGAUAAUGACAGUACCUGGUAAAGAAACCCCGGCUAACUCCGUGCCAGCAGCCGCGGUAAUACGGAGGGGGUUAGCGUUGUUCGGAAUUACUGGGCGUAAAGCGUACGUAGGCGGAUCAGAAAGUAGGGGGUGAAAUCCCGAGGCUCAACCUCGGAACUGCCUCCUAAACUCCUGGUCUUGAGUUCGAGAGAGGUGAGUGGAAUUCCAAGUGUAGAGGUGAAAUUCGUAGAUAUUUGGAGGAACACCAGUGGCGAAAGCGGCUCACUGGCUCGAUACUGACGCUGAGGUACGAAAGUGUGGGGAGCAACAGAAUAGAUACCCUGGUAGUCCACACCGU
rnacentral:rRNA from 1 species